rnacentral:rRNA from 1 species
UACGAAGGGGGCUAGCGUUGCUCGGAAUUACUGGGCGUAAAGGGAGCGUAGGCGGAUAGUUUAGUCAGAGGUGAAAGCCCAGGGCUCAACCUUGGAAUUGCCUUUGAUACUGGCUAUCUUGAGUGUGGGAGAGGUGAGUGGAACUCCGAGUGUAGAGGUGAAAUUCGUAGAUAUUCGGAAGAACACCAGUGGCGAAGGCGACUCACUGGCCCAUUACUGACGCUGAGGCUCGAAAGCGUGGGGAGCAAACAGG